GCUACAGACGCCGGGGGCUGCUGCCAGCCCUCCCCCCUCCCCCAGAAGCAGCGCUCGAGUGGUCGCCGCGGCGCUGCACCGCCCCCAUCUCCCGCCGUCGCUAGGCAGGGGCGCGAGGCCGUUGGCGGGGCGGGGCCGCGGCCAGCCGGGGGGCGAGGGGGGGCAGCGGACCCGCCUGACUGACAGGGCAGGCGGCAGCAGGGACACGCGGGCGCCGCGUGCUGUCCCCGCUCUACACGGCUGCCCAUUGGCUGCAGCGCGCGUGACGGGCUGCCCGGCCGGGAGAUAAUGCCGCGGCAGCCCGCGCGCCGCGCCGUCCCCGCUCCGCGUCCCCCGGCGGGGACACACAGUCGACGCGGGCAGCCGAGGAGCCGCGGCUCCCGGGGCCCCGCUGCCCUUCCCCGCUUCGCCCCGCCGUGCCGGCCCGGGAGGAGGGGGCGGGGCAGUGCGCGCGCCCUGCGGGCUGCCUUUGUGUGAUGGCCAAGGCCGCGCGAGCCGCCUGGCAGCAAGCGCGGGGCGGUAGCGACCGCCGGCAUCACCCCACAGCCUCACCUCCGGGCCCAGCCAAUCGGCGGGCGCCCCUCUGGCCCGACGCUGCCGCCACGUGCCAAUCAGCGAGGCUUGGCAGCAGCCAAUCAGACGCGGCCCCCCCUCCGCAGUCUUUCUCCGCCGGCUCGGGCGACCCUGGUAACAAUCUGGAAGAGCGGCCGUGGGUCACGUGGGGUAGAGCGGUUGCCGGCGGGGAGCGGGGGUGGGGAAGGUGGAAAACGGCGCGCGGGAGAGAAUGGUGUUGAGCGCGUUGCCGUGGCAACGGAUCAACCACAGGCAGGGGCGGGGCGCGGCGGCCCCCUCCUGCCCCGCCGAGCUCGCGGAGAGGCGGCGCGGCCGGCGCGGCCUGGCUGCCCGGCGCCCCGAGGGAACCCGAGGGAACCUCACGGCCGGGAGUACCCGCCGCUCAACGGCCGCGGCCGGCUCUCCCCUCCCCGAGCGGCUGCCAGGCUUAACUAGGACAAUUUCCUCUCCCAGCUGAUGGACAAAAAUACACCACAGCUUUUGGCGCUGGCGCAGCCUUAACAACGAGUGUUUUGUCGGCUGCAAAGAAACAUUACGUCCUUGGGGGGGAGGGAGGAGGAAAAAAACCCACAUCCAUAUGAAGAUUACAGGCCCCAAAUAACCCUCAGACAAGCCGAAGAAAACAGCGGGCCUCUGAUGAACGGAGGCGUUGGAUGUUAGCGUGGGCCCUGUAGCCUUUGUUUGGAGGAUUUGGGGGGAACAGAUAAAACCCCGGAGCCACACUGUUCAUACUACCGGGGAGCCUAGUGUUGUGGAGAGGAGUACAAGCCUAAUUCCUCCGAAAGGAUCAACCCCGUAAGUCGCUGGGAAAGGCAAAUCGCAACGGCCGCUGCAAGCAGAGGGUAGAAUGACAAGCAGCCCUACAUAUGUAUAAUCAUGCAAGUAUAUAUUUCCGUGUGCAGCGUGGUGGGAGACAGAAAGACUAAAGAAUUAGCAAAUAGUUGAAAUGUUAAAAUGGAUCAGCCUGAGCAGCUGCAGUCCACCCACAAUCUUGAUUUCGCACAAUGCACUUUAUUGGCUGUUAUACUGUUGUAUUUCUGCUAGUAUCUGCUUGGAAUAGAAAAUCCAUUGCAGCAGGGCCCAGUAAAACAGGGCUCCUGGCCGGGGUGCUUGGUUCCUACUAUAAUGCAGAUGCUCACAAAAUAGAGGUCAGUGCCUCCAUUUUCCCCACAGCCUCUUCUAUUCUAGUUACUCCUCAGUUGCCUCAGUCAUCAGCUCUUCUCCCCAGUCCCCAGCCUGAAGGGAGAAGAUUAAUUCCACGUGAAUUAAGUGACAAAUCAACUUUGAAAAAAAAUAAGCUCCAAAUAGUAGCCAUUCAAAUCACAGCCAAGUACCCUUUGCAAGCAACACAGAAACUGUAAAAGCUUGUGGUUAAACAAUUGCGAGUAAUACAGACUUGUGUAAAAUCAUGAUCUGCUCACAGAUAAUUUAUAAUGCAAAAAAAGAAAAGCUCAUCAGGCUUGAAAAAUGGCCAAAACAUAUUCUUGCAUCUUUAUAUAACACAAUACGUCAUUAAUACACCAUUAACAGUUUGGCUGCCUUUAACUGAAAUACAGUGUGUACUGAACAUGCAAUAAAUUGGAAGAGGAGGUAAAUCUCUAGGAAUAGAGAAAGUGGUUUAUGGCAAAACUUUCCUUUUCUGUCCAAAUUAAAGCAAAGAAUGAAAAACUUCAAACAAAAUCAAAGAAUUUGCCUGUGGUUAGGACGUACUGACUGGGGAGGAAGAAAAAGUUGAGAGAAACAGUACAUACAGCUUGAAAUCAUCAGUAAAUGUUGAAGCUUUUUCAAAACUGAGGAAGUUUUUGGUUAUACCAAAAGCAUCAAAUGAGAGAGCACUGUCUUCUGUUCAACCACACUGUGAAAAGUAUGACUUGAAUAUACAACCAUUUUCACCACCACCUGCCCCGUUUCCCAGAUGUACAACGGCACUCAGUCUGCUUCCACCUUCAGAAGUAAUUGUUACCUCAUUUUGAUAUAGUGCUUUAUCCUGUGCAGGCAUGUGUCUAAUCCAUUAGGCUGAGAUAGAUCAUACCGAAGUCAAACUUCACAACAUAAGGCAAUCAGCGUUCUUUUUUUUAACUUCCUUAUGUUCUGAUCAGUUUUGAUAUGCAGUGUAAAUGUCACUUGUACGUAUAAUGUAUAUCAUUAACACAAGCCUGAAUAGGUUUGAUUGCUCCUUGGUUAGAAUGAAAUAAAGGAGCACAUAUUUCUUUCUUCAGCGUUAUGUAAUUAUGAAAGUUGUAUACAAUGGAGAAAAAGAAACGACACCUCUUUUUCCCUCCUGUUAAGAAAAGAUGAUCUCAUUUGUGGCAGGAAGUUUAAUAUGUAAAGUAGCGUUUGUUUAACAUAUUUCUUUUUUAGUGUGAUCCGAUUAUCAUGGUCAUGCAGUGCCUGGAACGGAAAUAAACUGGAAAUCCCUUAUCUUGUGUCCCGAGCAAUGAGGAAGCUUGCACAUUCAAUAACUGACAGUCGGAGAAUGUGUGAGCUGUUACCUUUGCCCCGCACAGGAUCCUGGAUAAGGAAACCAAAAUGACCACAUACAAAGGUUUACGAUUCCUGCAGGAGCUACCUUCGUCCUGAGGAGUUUGUGGAAGAAUGUGAGAUCCGUUUUCAUUUGAACGGCCCAGCCCUGGGACAAUGGUGAAACAAAUACAAUACACACCCACCCUACAGCUUUUAUUUCCUCAGUUUAAACCAGUGACCUGACUUUUUCAGUGCUUAGCUUGCUGUUGAUAAAUUUUACACUCUCCUCAGUGCUCGGAAAGAUGCAGCAGAAUAAAGGUGGCCCAGGUUCACUGAAGCUCUCUGUGCUAGCUGGUGAAGCAAGAAUUAGGGACGUGGCAGGAUGAGAGGCAGAGCUUUGCUUGGGGAGGAAGAGGUCUGCACAGCAACGAAUCUUCUAGCUACUGCCAGAAGAUACCAAGUGGGAGGACAUCAGCUCGGAUUUUUAGCAUCUAAUGGGGAGUUAUGGGAUGGGUCUAGAAGCAGCAAGAUUUUCCUAUAAAAGUCCUGUCUCUUCUUGUUCCAUUCAGUGUUAAAAGGUAAGCUGCUCUUAGGAAAUCUCUUCUUUGUCCCAGAUCUGCAAUUCAGAGCUGGCAUGGAGGACGUAUGUGUACUCAUAAUGUAUAUUCCUAUUGUCAUGUGGUUUUGGUUGGAGGAUGUUGCGUGGUUAAGGAAGACUUUUACAACUGAAAAUAGAACCAGAACUUUCUGGCUGCUGUGGCUAUUAUGGAUUUGUAUGAUUAAUAUUUAGUUGCUUUACAAAAAUCAUCUGAGGUUGGAAUUCAGAAUCAGAGCUAAGUUGUGCUAAGCGUUACAUAUGGCAUAUUUUCGUUAACAAAUCUGUUGACAUAGGUAUUAAUGUAGAUGAUGGAUUGACAUAAAAAUACUGCCAGUCUAUUCCAGGGAUAUAAAACACAAAACAAGAUACACCAUGUGAAUUUUUUGUUAUUAAUCCCCAGAUAAGCUCUUUGAAACUACUUGCCGGGAGAAGUAACUUGUUUCAAUGGCAAGUAACAUAUUUUUUUCAAGACCCCCAUGAAAACUGGAAAUGAAGUGGAUUUGGCAGUUUAGCCUGUAAAGUUUUGUGGCAAAUCUGCAAUCCUAAAGACCACAGGCUUUUGUCCUGGCAUUGUUUCUUGAUGUUGUUCUGAAAAGAGCUAAACUAAAACCAUGCUCCAGCCAUAUGUAUCAUUUUGUUCUACUGCAAUAGCUCAUAGCUGCCAGUGAAUUUCUCCUAUACUCCUAGCAUUCUGUAAGGGGUGCUGCAAGAACCUGAAGACUACUCUUUCCAGGCUACCAUGCAUUUGUUGGUUUAAAAUUAUUACAACAGCAUUUUUUCAUUUGCAUGCUUGGAGAUAAUCUGUUUUUGCAGUAAAUUUGUAUUUCAACGCAGAUUUCUUUGUCCAUCAUUAUUGGCAGUUUACAAGAUUUCUUCUUUUUCCCCCAUUUGGGGAUGUGAGAGCAAAUGAAAUAAACCCUCCAUAAAAAAUAAUUUUGUCCAGGUGGAACAUAAAUGAGCCAAAAAAAAUUAUUCUACAUGGCAAAUAAAAAGCAUAUGCUGUAUUAUUUAAAGCACAGCCUCCAUAUUCACAUACAAAAUUAAUGCUACAGUGGGAGGUAAAACUGAUGAAGGCAGACAAUGAAAAUAUUAGGAGUAAAACAUGAUGCCAGGAACAAUUCAAGCAGAGCCACUUGCAGGGUCAUGGUCAUAUUCCAUUUCAAAUGGGCAUGGAAAUAUACUGUGGGUUAUUCUUCUCCAGAGAUGCACAGAUAAUAAGCACCUGCUCCCCAUGUCUACUCUUCACUUUUAACUGUUGAUUUAUUGAAUGUUUCUGAAAGCUGUGGUCAGGCUAGUGAGGGAUAUAUAACAUGGUGCCUACAGGAAGAAAUGGGAGCAGAUAGAAACAUUCUGUCAGGCUCCUGCUAGUACCAUGGGGUGAAAAGCUGAAUGGGAUUCAAAACAAAAGCUGAUUCCCUUUAAGGUUUCAGGCAAAAAUACAUUUACUGAAAGGUAAACUGGUAGUCUUCCUGUUCUUGUUGUGAGUGGGUUAUUUCCCUACAACUGUGAAAGUCAGUAAAAAACUCUAAACUAUGUAUGUUCCUUGCCUCAAACUGUAGUAAAUUCUGGUUUCAAAGGAGGCACAUACAGGGUUCAGCAAUCUAAGGCACCAAAAGGGACCUUUUCCAUCAUUGGAUAUUUGACUUCCCACAGUAUCUAGGAAACUGCUGGAGUAUAUACUGGGAUACACACACACACACACACACACACACACAGAGGUAUGUAUGCGUGUAUGUGUGUGUGUAUAUAUAUAUAUAUAUAUAUAUUUAAAAAGCAUACAAUUGCAUGUGAUUUAAAGUCAUUUUCAGAAAAGCAUCAGAAAUCCAACCUUCUUACGUGUGUCUGUACUACAUCAGAGACAGUCCUACCAGUGAAUUUCUUAUACUGAUCCUUGUUCUUCCAGAGUCAGUGGGGUUUCAGUCCAUUCCCACCCCUAAACUGAGGAACAGCCUCACUAAAUUGAGGACGAACAUAAUCUUUAGACAAUAUUGAAUCUGGGUCAUUACAAAGAGACUCUAAAUUGAUGACUUUUUUCCCUGUAAUUUAAUAAAAGAUAAUUGCACAGAGGACUUGGUUAGUGUAAGUUAUGCUCUUUCACUGUUCUCUGAUACUAUCUUCUUUGCAGCAAGAGCAGAACUUUGCAGCUAAGAGGUCUUGAGAUGUUCCAGUCACAGAGGAGUCACGGGUCAGUGAGAUUUAAACACCACUGCUUGGAAAAGGCAUGUGCCUAUUUAGAAACAGAAGAAAGAAAAUGUUGUUUUUUAAUUAAAAACAUGAAUCUGGAAA